AGAGUUAAACAGUACGUGAAAUUGUUGAAAGGGAAACGAUUGAAGUCAGUCGUGCUGGCGCGAAAUCAGCUCGACCACUGGGGGAUCACGGGCCGUAGCGAGCCUCAAAACCGUUGCGACUUGUGAUUGCUUGGUGGCCUGGUGCACUUUCGUGUCUGCUGGUUAGCAUCAAUUUUGAUUGUCAUAAAAAGGUUAAGGGGAUGUGGCUCCUUCGGGAGUGUUAUAACCCUUAGCGGAAUGUGGCGAUUGGGAUUGAGGAUUGCAACGAAUACCUUUAGGGCAGUUCCGUCUGGUCUCUUGUUGACGUUUAGAUGGCAACAGCUUGCUUUUGUUGUUUGAAUUAGUUAGCAAAUAGAUUGGAAAGUGAAUUAAUUCGUUAAGGAUGCUGACGUAAUGGCUUUAAACGACC
rnacentral:sRNA from 1 species